AUGCAAGGAGAGAAGGCAUCGGAGGGCGGGUUUGUGCCGCCAGAUCCAUCUAAGAUCGAUGAUGUAGCGGGAGAAGGAGAAGCAAUAGGUGCAGGAGCGGAACGGGAGAACGCAGAAGAAGCCUAUUGGGAUCACUAUGGUCCUGAUCCAAAUCUUGAAGAUGUGUUUGAAGGGCUGAAUCUUCAAGGAGAAGAAGAGGAGGAUCUCAAUCUUUCCGGAGAGGUUGAAGAAUUGAUCAAAGAAGUUCGCUGGCUUGCGCUUUUUAGGGUUCAUACCCUGCGCCCGUUUAGCCAUGCCGCUCUGUUGAACUCGAUGCGGAACGCGUGGGCGUGUGCACAAGGGGUGACAUUCAAUAUCAAAGGCCCAAAUUUGUUUUUGGCACAGUGCCAUUGCUUAGGCGACUGGAAGCGCGUGAUGGAUGGAGGUCCGUGGCAGUUCCGAAGAGAUCCUGUGGUAUUGGUGGAGUAUGAUGGCUUCACGAACGUCUCAGACUAUGCACUGAACGUGUAUCCAUUGUGG
rnacentral:rRNA from 1 species